rnacentral:rRNA from 1 species
AACGAACGCUGGCGGCAUGCCUAAUACAUGCAAGUCGAACGAGAAAGCUCCUUCGGGAGUGAGUAGAGUGGCGCACGGGUGAGUAACACGUAGGUGACCUACCCCUCAGUCGGGGAUAACGGAAAGAAAUUUCCGCUAAUACCGGAUAAGCCUGACGAAAUUGGAAGUAGUCAUGGAAAGAUGGCCUCUGAAUAUGCCAUCACUGAAGGAAGGGCCUGCGCUCCAUUAGCUAGUUGGCAGGGUAACGGCCUACCAAGGCGACGAUGGAUAGCCGGUCUGAGAGGAUGACCGGCCACACUGGAACUGAGACACGGUCCAGACUCCUACGGGUGGCUG